UACGUAGGUGGCAAGCGUUGUCCGGAAUUAUUGGGCGUAAAGCGCGCGCAGGUGGUUCCUUAAGUCUGAUGUGAAAGCCCACGGCUCAACCGUGGAGGGUCAUUGGAAACUGGGGGACUUGAGUGCAGAAGAGGAAAGUGGAAUUCCAAGUGUAGCGGUGAAAUGCGUAGAGAUUUGGAGGAACACCAGUGGCGAAGGCGACUUUCUGGUCUGUAACUGACGCUGAGGCGCGAAAGCGUGGGGAGCAAACAGG
rnacentral:rRNA from 1 species